rnacentral:tRNA from 1 species
AGUAAUCUGGCAGAAUUAAUGCGGUUGGUUUAGGUUCAAUUCAUAGACCGUAGGUCUGAUUGCUU